AGGGUGCUAGCUCAAUGGAAGAGAACCUGCCUUAUAAGCAAGAGGUUGGUGGUUCGAUUCCUCCGUGCCCUA
rnacentral:tRNA from 1 species